CCGAGCGGUAUUUGUCUUUCGGGACAGAGAGAGCGGCGUACGGGUGCGGAACACGUGUGCAACCUGCCUUUAUCUGGGGGAUAGCCUUUCGAAAGGAAGAUUAAUACCCCAUAAUAUAUUGAAUGGCAUCAUUCGAUAUUGAAAACUCCGGUGGAUAGAGAUGGGCACGCGCAAGAUUAGAUAGUUGGUGAGGUAACGGCUCACCAAGUCAAUGAUCUUUAGGGGGCCUGAGAGGGUGAUCCCCCACACUGGUACUGAGACACGGACCAGACUCCUACGGGAGGCAGCAGUGAGGAAUAUUGGACAAUGGGUGAGAGCCUGAUCCAGCCAUCCCGCGUGAAGGACGACGGCCCUAUGGGUUGUAAACUUCUUUUGUAUAGGGAUAAACCUUUCCACGUGUGGAAAGCUGAAGGUACUAUACGAAUAAGCACCGGCUAACUCCGUGCCAGCAGCCGCGGUAAUACGGAGGGUGCAAGCGUUAUCCGGAUUUAUUGGGUUUAAAGGGUCCGUAGGCGGGCUCGUAAGUCAGUGGUGAAAUCUCAUAGCUUAACUAUGAAACUGCCAUUGAUACUGCGAGCCUUGAGUAAGGUAGAGGUAGCUGGAAUAAGUAGUGUAGCGGUGAAAUGCAUAGAUAUUACUUAGAACACCAAUUGCGAAGGCAGGUUACCAUGUCUUAACUGACGCUGAUGGACG
rnacentral:rRNA from 1 species